CAAAAAAACAGGAAGAGGAAGAAACAUCCCACAUCCCCUCCUUCCUCUGCAUCUCCCCCCUCCUCCAAUCCUGUCAACUUCUAUUAUGCUCAGAAAGCAACCAGAAAAGGCUGAAAACAAAAGAAGGAGGAACCUUGAAAGAGCGUGCGAUCUACAUAACUCUGACAUCCAGCACAAGGACUAGACUUUUCUGGCACAGUACUUCAGGCUGAAAUGUGGGAGAUUUCCUACACAGGACACAGUUGUGGAUGUUCAGUUCUCCACCCAACUCUCUGAAAAGUUAAAACCGUACUCAAGAUCCUAUUAUACGAAGAUAUACUCUGGACCAUCUGUGAAAAGAACAGCAGUUCACUCUCAACUUAUGUGUCAACUUGCAACAAUUUCUCAGCUACCAGAAAGAAGAUGAAACUUGGUGGAGCAUAGACAUUUAUUUUAUGUUACACUGAAUUUUCAGAAUAGCUUUUUUGUAUUUAUUUAUAAUGUGUAUCAGCACUCUAAUGCUAAUUUGAUCUCUUUGAAAAAAAUGUGUCAUCAGGCUUGUAAUGAAUGACAGAUUGGGAAACAGGGAAUUGAUAAUGUUUUGCCAUUUCAAUACAGUCUGAAAUUCUAGUUUAGAUCCACACUUAGGAAUUAUUUAUAUCCUCUUAUGUCAUAUCAAUUUAAAUAAUAUUCCACUCAUCGAGGCAUAAAGAAUAAUGUUAAUAUUAACGUUUCUAUUUAAAAUUUGUUAAUUGCACAUGAAGGGGUUAUAUCUGCUGCAUUCAGGGUUUUUUAAAUUUAAUUUUAUUGUAUUAGAAAAUCUAUGAGGUUAAAUCUGCAGAAAUUAUUGCUUUUAAAUGUUGUAUAAUAAGAAUCUUGCUGCUGUUAUGAGCACUGAAAAAUGUGCCUUCAUCUCAAAUAAGCCUUGUUAAAGCUACAGUUCUGGAACUGCCAGGAUUUAAUACUAAAUUUGGGCCUGAUCCAGCUCAGCUUUACUCAUGUGAGUAGCUUGGUCUCCUCUGAUGAAAUCUGUGCCUGAGCAGGGGUUACUGCAGAUGUCUCUGCAAAGUUAUUGACCUGGGGAAAGGCUGGAAAUGGGGAAGAGAAAGGGGUGAAUGUACAAUCUCCACCUGUUUAGGCUAUAGCUCCCCAAAGUAUUAUGUCUCUGACACACUCCUUUUAGAGGUGAUCUUGGUCAGGGAUGGGAUAACAACUAAAGGCUCUGCCAAGGUGCUGAAGGAGGCUGAAGGCAUAUUUUGUCCCUUCUCCACACACCUGGAUCAGGUAGACAGUAUCACAGGCUUGCCAGAGGGGCAAGGACUUGGCAGCUCCACACAGGGAAGAGGAUGCUCCUCUGCCCUCCAGCCACUCUCAUCUCCUGCUCCAAGCUGCUAAGGGCCAAACUCUGGGAAGGGCAUUGUCAGUAAUCGUUUGCUUGAUUAGACCCCUUAGGGGAAGUCACCAAUAGUGGUUUGUUCCCCUGGGAAAGAAAAAUACUAAAGCAAAUAUGAGCCUAUUGACUACUGAAGUCAUGUGGAAAACACUCAUAGACUUUGACCUCAGCAGGAAAUGACCCAACAUUACUUUAAAACAUAUGGACUUAAGUGAGUGACAAUUUGCUGCUUGUAACACCAAACAGCAAAUGAAAUUAUCUUUCUUUUUGCUCUAAGCACAGAUACUGAUCCUGAUCAUCUUCCCACUUUCAUACAUUUCAUACAGUGACAUAUAUCUGGAGGAAAGCCCUUGCUAACAGCAGGAUCACAUCGUCAGUGAACUAAUGAGAGAGCAGAAUCAGUCUAAUUUUUUUUGUGACUAAUAAUUUAAAAAUGCAGAAGCUGAAACAUUUCAGAUUCACAGUGGACAGGUCCACCUUCUGCCAAUGUGUGCUUUUAAUUUCUAGCCCUAGAUGAAUCUGAGAAAGUUUAAUACUCCAUUUUAGAUAAGCAUCAAAAAGUAGGAUUCUUAUUCUAAUUUGAAGCUCUUGAGUUUGAGCCAUCUGGCUGGGAAUCUUCGCAGAGCAACCUACCACAUCACAUUAGUUUUGUGUCCUAAUUGGUGCCAUGAAAAGAAACAAUAAUCAAUUAAGUUGUCAAUUAACUAACAAAAAUAAUCCUCAGUUUGCAGAGGUAUUUUCUUAAAACAUGAAGUGGGAACUUUUCUAUAAUUUCAAAGCAAUAUACACAUUUUUGUGUAUACAUGUGUAUAUGCAUAUAAACACAUACAUAUAUGAUUUAAGGUUCUUCUUAACAUUAUUGCAGUUAUUUCACUCCAUCUUUAGCAAUCCUUUGGAAGGACUGCUACUGAGCUCCAACGAUGAUGCUGAUAGCUGAGAGGCAUUCGUUUCACACUGGCUAAUUAAGCGUGUGAAGGCCAUAUAAAGGAUCGGUUCUAUCAGCACACACUCACCAUGAACAGCCUGUCCCCUGCAGGGUUAAGAAGAAGACAUUAAAUGAUCACCUGUCCCAAACACCAAAUGACAGUUUCAAGGUAGUAAAUGAAGCCUGGGGUUACUAAGGGAUAAACUUCAGUUUUAGCUUUGCAAUGAAAGGAAGGAAACAGUUGAGGAAAAUCACCUUCUAAGAGCUUGGAGAAGUCUAAACAGAAUUUUGCAUUGCCCCUUUUCAUGUCUUUACCAGGGAUGCUCCUUGGGAGAAAUUCUCAUUUCGAUGAAUGUUCAGGCUAUGCAAAUCUUGAGCUCACAGCUGACACCCCUUGCAAUCCCCGCCUGCCCUCCUCUAGGGAUGAAUUACCCCUCUGGUACAAAUUACACAUGCACACCAGAUGGGGUGAACUGAAUGCUCUAACUAGAAACAGAGGGAGGAUGAUCUUGUGUUUAAUAUGAAAGUCAGGGACUCAAGAGACUUUGAUUCUAUUCCUGGCUCUGUCUCAGACCUUGUAUAACUUUGGGUGACUUGUUUAAUCGUUCUGCCUUGGUUCUUCUCAUCUAUAAAAUGGGAAUGGUAAUAUUGUACUACGUUGUCAGGGUGUUACAAAACUAAAUGACUGCUUAUAAGAUGUACUGCAAUCCAUAGCUGAAAAAGAAUGCAGACAGGCCAUUUGUUACUGCUAAUAAUAAUUUUGGGCAGGAACUUUAACCUUCUUUAUGUCGUCGAAAAAUAUAUGUAUAUUCAGACUUA